UUCAACGGCCGCGGUAUCCUAACCGUGCAAAGGUAGCGCAAUCAAUUGUCCCGUAAAUCGAGACUAGUAUGAAUGGCUAAACGAGGUCUUAACUGUCUCUUACAGGUAAUCGGUGAAAUUGAUCUCCCUGUACAAAAGCAGGGAUAAACCCAUAAGACGAGAAGACCCUGUGGAACUUCAAAACCAGCAACCAUCUUAAAUCAAAUAUCCACCCACCGGGUUCACUGCCACAUAAGCUUCUGGUCUGCGUUUUUCGGUUGGGGCGACCUUGGAGCAAAACAAAACCUCCAAAAAUUAGACCACACCUCUAGACUGAGAGCAACCCCUCAACGUGCUAAUAGCACCCAGACCCAAUACAAUUGAUCAAUGGACCAAGCUACCCCAGGGAUAACAGCGCAAUCUCCUCCGAGAGUCCGUAUCGACGAGGAGGUUUACGACCUCGAUGUUGGAUCAGGACAUCCUAGUGGUGCAGCCGCUACUAA
rnacentral:rRNA from 1 species